UACGAAGGGUGCAAGCGUUAAUCGGAAUUACUGGGCGUAAAGGGCGCGUAGGCGGCUUGACAAGUCACUUGUGAAAUCUCCGGGCUUAACUCGGAAUGGCCAAGUGAAACUGUCAUGCUAGAGUGCAGAAGGGGCAAUCGGAAUUCUUGGUGUAGCGGUGAAAUGCGUAGAUAUCAAGAGGAACACCUGAGGUGAAGACGGGUUGCUGGGCUGACACUGACGCUGAGGCGCGAAAGCCAGGGGAGCAAACGGG
rnacentral:rRNA from 1 species